rnacentral:lncRNA from 1 species
ACACACACACACACACACACACUUGUGUAUAUAAAAAACCGCACAUACACUCUAUACACACACACACAUACCACACAUACACAUGAACAUAUGCACACAUACCACACACACCCCUAUACACAAAUACAGACACACACACAAACACACACUCAUGCAUACACACCACAUGCACACAAGCACAUGCACACACACUACACACAUACCACACACAUACACACAAAUGCACAUACACACACAUACACAUACACAUACAAAUACACACGCACAUGCACGUGAUUUCUCUAGACGAUAUUUUGGGAAUAGCGUUGAUUUGACUGCAUCAUAUGGACAAUGUUGUUAUGAGGUGACCUUGCCCUUUGAACCAACAUGGAUAAUUUAUUGCCUGUCACUGUGGCCAAAAGCAAGAGGUAUGUGCUUAAGAGAUGGACUUUAUUGGAGUCUGGGGGCUCCCUCCUGCCUCCCAAAGACUUCUGUCAUCAUUUCCUGUGUUUCUGUUAUGUUUAGCCUAUAUGUCUGUGCAUAUAGAUGUUUCCAACAGCAAACAGUUCAUGACCCAGAAAGAGCAAAAUAUUUUGGCUUGCCCUGGCUUUCAGCACCUGUUUAAACCAAAAGCCUUUUGAAUCUCUGUGCACAGGUCAGAAGGCUCAGCCAGCAACUGGAGAGGGGUGCAAAGCUAUAGAGACUGUCUUGUGGGCUGUUUUCAAACCCAAGACCCCAUGCUAAUGUCAAGGACCUUUACUGCCUUGGAUCCCAGAUGUGGAAGAGAAGACAAACAGCAAAUCCACGGAGCAGUAGGUCUUUCUUUUCGCAUGUAGAUCUGUACAUGCAUCUCCCAGCUUGCCUUGGUAACACGAGGAAUUGACCUUGGUAGUCUAGGUUCAUCUCCCAUUGAUAGCUCAAUAUUUUUCCAGGCAGUGUCAUAUCUGUGACAAAGCAGCAGCCUGGCUAGCACUGGGCAUUAGCCUUUGUCACCGGAGCAGCUGAGGUAGGCUUGGCAAGUUCUUCAGGACCGAAAGAGUAACUCUGGGGACACGGAUGUUCUUCCCAUUUUCCCAGGGGAACAAUACAGUGCUCAGAGGGUCCCCAAGAAGGUUCUUCCAGGAUGUGGCAAAGUCAUGGCAGUGGUGAUGGAGACCUGCUCUCACAUCAGGCGUCACCGAAAGUGAAGUGCUGGAGAAUGCUAAGGGACACAGGGUGCCUUUCAAGGGACCCCUCUGCCUCUCCUCUCUAUACAGCUUGUCUGGGAAAAGAGGUUUUAAUUGCAGCUCUGAUUUUAAGGUGAUCUGCUUAUGCGUUGUUUUUGUUUUGUUUUGUUUUGUUUUGUUUUGUUUUGUUUUGUUUUUCUCUCCGUGAAGCUUGAGGAGAAAUUAAGAAGUAAAGAAGACAGCUUGACCGGGCAGCGGUGGUACAUGCCUUUAAUCCCAGCACUUGGGAGACAGAGGCAGGCAGAUUUCUGAGUUUCUGAGGUCGAGGCCAGCCUGGUCUACAGAGUGAGUUCCAGGACAGCCAGGGCUACACAGAGAAACCCUGUCUCAGAAAACCAAAAAAAAAAAAAAAAAGGAGGAGGAGGAGGAGAAAAAGGAAUAAGAAG